rnacentral:rRNA from 1 species
CGAACGGAAUCUUUCGGGAUUUAGUGGCGGACGGGUGAGUAACGCGUGAGAAUCUGCCUUCAGGUUCGGGACAACAGCUGGAAACGGCUGCUAAUACCGGAUGUGCCGAGAGGUGAAAGCUUUAGUGCCUGGAGAUGAGCUCGCGUCUGAUUAGCUAGUAGGAGUGGUAACGGCACCCCUAGGCGACGAUCAGUAGCUGGUCUGAGAGGAUGAUCAGCCACACUGGGACUGAGACACGGCCCAGACUCCUACGGGAGGCAGCAGUGGGGAAUUUUCCGCAAUGGGCGCAAGCCUGACGGAGCAAGACCGCGUGAGGGAAGAAGGUCUGUGGAUUGUAAACCUCUUUUGAUAGGGAAGAAGAUAGUGACGGUACCUAUCGAAUCAGCCUCGGCUAACUCCGUGCCAGCAGCCGCGGUAAUACGGAGGAGGCAAGCGUUAUCCGGAAUUAUUGGGCGUAAAGAGUCCGUAGGUGGGUGACCAAGUCAGUUGUUAAAUAGUGAAGCUUAACUUCAUAGAGGCGACUGAAACUGGUCAUCUAGAGUGUGGUAGGGGUAGAGGGAAUUUCCAGUGUAGCGGUGAAAUGCGUAGAUAUUGGAAAGAACACCGGUGGCGAAAGCGCUCUACUGGGCCUGCACUGACACUGAGGGACGAAAGCUAGGGGAGCGAAAGGGAUUAGAUACCCCUGUAGUCCUAGCCGUAAACGAUGGAUACUAGGCGUUGCCCGUAUCGACCCGAGCCGUGCCGAAGC